rnacentral:rRNA from 1 species
AAGACCUUGCGCUUUUGGAGCGGCCGAUGUCUGAUUAGCUAGUUGGUAGGGUAAUGGCCUACCAAAGCUUCGAUCAGUAGCUGGUCUGAGAGGACGACCAGCCACACUGGGACUGAGACACGGCCCAGACUCCUACGGGAGGCAGCAGUGGGGAAUUUUGGACAAUGGGCGCAAGCCUGAUCCAGCCAUGCCGCGUGAGUGAAGAAGGCCUUCGGGUUGUAAAGCUCUUUCAGCCGGGAAGAAAAGGCUACGACGAAUAAUCGUAGCUCAUGACGGUACCGGAAGAAGAAGCACCGGCUAACUACGUGCCAGCAGCCGCGGUAAUACGUAGGGUGCGAGCGUUAAUCGGAAUUACUGGGCGUAAAGAGUGCGCAGGCGGUUUUGUAAGUCAGAUGUGAAAUCCCCGGGCUUAACCUGGGAACU